UACGGAGGGUGCAAGCGUUAUCCGGAUUCACUGGGCUUAAAGGGUGCGUAGGCGGCCCGGUAAGUCAGUGGUGAAAUCUCCUUGCUUAACAGGGAAACUGCCAUUGAUACUGCUGGGCUUGAGUACAGAUGCUGUGGGCGGAAUAUGACAUGUAGUGGUGAAAUACUUAGAGAUGUCAUAGAACACCGAUUGCGAAGGCAGCUCACAAAACUGUAACUGACGCUGAGGCACGAAAGUGCGGGGAUCAAACAGG
rnacentral:rRNA from 1 species